rnacentral:rRNA from 1 species
UUUGAAGUUCUCUAUGGACGACGGUGUCGAACACCCCUUAACUGGUCAGAGACCGGGGAAAGACAAUUCUUUGGCCCGGACAUGAUUCAGGAAGCAGAAGAACAAGUUCGCAUCGUUCGUGAAAAGUUGAAAACAGCCCAAUCUCGUCAAAAGAGUCAAUAUGACCGAAAACAUAAGGCUAUGACUUUCGAGGUUGACGAGAAGGCUUAUCUUCGGGUCACCCCUCUGAAGGGAACCCAUCGUUUCGGUAUCAAAGGCAAAUUGGCUCCUCGUUACAUUGGACCUUUCCGCAUUCUCGCCAAACGAGGAGAAGUUGCCUACCAGUUGGAACUACCUCCGCAUCUCUCCAAAGUCCACGAUGUCUUCCAC